AAGUGGUUGGACUCUUUCUAAAUUGGAGACAAUUUGAUCUGAUUUGAAUUGGCUUAACCCUACUGCACUAACCGAACUAGACAACGGUGCAGUAGGGGUAAAUUCUCCGCGUUCGGUGCGG
rfam:Human echovirus 21 strain Farina complete genome.